rnacentral:rRNA from 1 species
GUUGUAUGGUUAAGUGACUAAGCGUACACGGUGGAUGCCUUGGCAGUCAGAGGCGAUGAAAGACGUAGUAACUUGCGAUAAGCCCAGAUUAGGUAGUAACAACCAUUUGAGUCUGGGAUUUCUGAAUGGGGAAACCCACGUGCAUAAGCACGUAUCCUUACCUGAAUACAUAGGGUAAGGAGGCGAACCGGGGGAACUGAAACAUCUAAGUACCCCGAGGAAAAGAAAUCAACCGAGAUUCCGAAAGUAGCGGCGAGCGAAAUUGGACUAGCCCUUAAGCUUUACACGCGUUAGACGAACGGUCUGGAAAGUCCGACGAUACAGGGUGAUAGUCCCGUAGUUGACGACGUGUGUUCAGUGAAAUCGAGUAGGGCGGGACACGUGAUAUCCUGUCUGAAUAUGGGGGACCAUCCUCCAAGGCUAAAUACUACUGACUGACCGAUAGUGAACCAGUACCGUGAGGGAAAGGCGAAAAGAACCCCUGUGAGGGGAGUGAAAUAGAACCUGAAACCGUGUACGUACAAGCAGUAGGAGCAGGCUUUGUCCUGUGACUGCGUACCUUUUGUAUAAUGGGUCAGCGACUUAUAUUCAGUGGCAAGGUUAACCAUCUAGGGGAGCCGUAGGGAAACCGAGUCUUAACUGGGCGUUCAGUCUCUGGAUAUAGACCCGAAACCAGGUGAUCUAGCCAUGGGCAGGUUGAAGGUUGAGUAACAUCAACUGGAGGACCGAACCGACUAAUGUUGAAAAAUUAGCGGAUGACUUGUGGCUAGGGGUGAAAGGCCAAUCAAACCUGGAGAUAGCUGGUUCUCCCCGAAAGCUAUUUAGGUAGCGCCUCGGACGAAUACUACUGGGGGUAGAGCACUGUUAAGGCUAGGGGGUCAUCCCGACUUACCAACCCUUUGCAAACUCCGAAUACCAGUAAGUACUAUCCGGGAGACACACGGCGGGUGCUAACGUCCGUCGUGGAGAGGGAAACAACCCAGACCGCCAGCUAAGGUCCCAAAUUACUACUAAGUGGGAAACGAUGUGGGAAGGCUCAGACAGCCAGGAUGUUGGCUUAGAAGCAGCCAUCAUUUAAAGAAAGCGUAAUAGCUCACUGGUCGAGUCGGCCUGCGCGGAAGAUGUAACGGGGCUAAGUAGUAAACCGAAGCUGCGGCAAUAUACUUUUGUAUAUUGGGUAGGGGAGCGUUCUGUAAGCGGUUGAAGGUGUGUGGUAACGCAUGCUGGACGUAUCAGAAGUGCGAAUGCUGACAUGAGUAACGAUAAAGGGGGUGAAAAACCUCCUCGCCGGAAGACCAAGGGUUCCUGUCCAACGUUAAUCGGGGCAGGGUAAGUCGACCCCUAAGGCGAGGCCGAAAGGCGUAGUCGAUGGGAAACGGGUUAAUAUUCCCGUACUUCUUACAAUUGCGAUGGGGGGACGGAGAAGGCUAGGUGGGCCUGGCGACGGUUGUCCAGGUUCAAGUGCGUAGGCUUAAGAGUUAGGUAAAUCCGGCUCUUUCUAAGGCUGAGACACGACGUCGAGCACCUACGGGUGUGAAGUCAUUGAUGCCAUGCUUCCAGGAAAAGCCUCUAAGCUUCAGAUUGUAAGGAAUCGUACCCCAAACCGACACAGGUGGUCGGGUAGAGAAUACCAAGGCGCUUGAGAGAACUCGGGUGAAGGAACUAGGCAAAAUGGUACCGUAACUUCGGGAGAAGGUACGCUCUUGAUGGUGAAGUCCCUUGCGGAUGGAGCUGACGAGAGUCGCAGAUACCAGGUGGCUGCAACUGUUUAUUAAAAACACAGCACUGUGCAAAAUCGUAAGAUGACGUAUACGGUGUGACGCCUGCCCGGUGCCGGAAGGUUAAUUGAUGGGGUUAGACUUCGGUCGAAGCUCUUGAUCGAAGCCCCGGUAAACGGCGGCCGUAACUAUAACGGUCCUAAGGUAGCGAAAUUCCUUGUCGGGUAAGUUCCGACCUGCACGAAUGGCGUAAUGAUGGCCACGCUGUCUCCACCCGAGACUCAGUGAAAUUGAAAUCGCUGUGAAGAUGCAGUGUACCCGCGGCUAGACGGAAAGACCCCGUGAACCUUUACUACAGCUUGGCACUGAACAUUGACCCUACAUGUGUAGGAUAGGUGGGAGGCUUUGAAGCACGUACGCCAGUAUGUGUGGAGCCGUCCUUGAAAUACCACCCUUGUAGUGUUGAUGUUCUAACGUCGACCCCUUAUCGGGGUUGCGGACAGUGCCUGGUGGGUAGUUUGACUGGGGCGGUCUCCUCCCAAAGAGUAACGGAGGAGCACGAAGGUGGGCUAAUCACGGUUGGACAUCGUGAGGUUAGUGCAAUGGCAUAAGCCCGCUUGACUGCGAGAAUGACAAUUCGAGCAGGUGCGAAAGCAGGUCAUAGUGAUCCGGUGGUUCUGAAUGGAAGGGCCAUCGCUCAACGGAUAAAAGGUACUCCGGGGAUAACAGGCUGAUACCGCCCAAGAGUUCAUAUCGACGGCGGUGUUUGGCACCUCGAUGUCGGCUCAUCACAUCCUGGGGCUGAAGUCGGUCCCAAGGGUAUGGCUGUUCGCCAUUUAAAGUGGUACGCGAGCUGGGUUUAGAACGUCGUGAGACAGUUCGGUCCCUAUCUGCCGUGGGCGUUGGAAGAUUGAAGGGGGCUGCUCCUAGUACGAGAGGACCGGAGUGGACGAACCUCUGGUGUUCGGGUUGUGUCGCCAGACGCAUUGCCCGGUAGCUAAGUUCGGAAUCGAUAACCGCUGAAAGCAUCUAAGCGGGAAGCGAGCCCUGAGAUGAGUCUUCCCUGAUACUUUAAGUAUCCUAAAGGGUUGUCGGAGACUACGACGUUGAUAGGUCAGGUGUGUAAGUGCUGUGAGGCAUUGAGCUAACUGAUACUAAUUGCCCGUGAGGCUUAACCAUACAACACCCAAGGGGUUU